AUGUCCCCGAGCAGGACUGGGAGUGCCGGCCCGUCCCACGGGCACCGCCGCCGUCCCCGCUCCCUGGAGCGCUGCCGCCGGGGCCGCUCCGAGCAGCGCCGGGCCCGCGCUGUUUGUCCGCGCCGCGGUGCAUUCUAUUUACAGUGCCUUUCGGGGUUUCUGCCGGUCACCCGCCGCCACCAGAGAAAUAUUUUUAUUCCCCCUCUGCUGCGUAACUUGGCUUCUGUUUUCUUGUUGUUGUUUUUUUCCUCCUGCCUUUGUAGAUGUUGGCCGCGGCCAGGGCCAAGUCACGGGGCAGGCAGGAUGUGCUGCUUCUGCGGAGGUACAGGCAUGCGGAUAAAUGACACGGAUUUCUGCAGCUUCGCCGGGCUCUGGCAGGUGUUACUCAGAUAAAGCCCAAGCAGAGAUUAUGCAGCAGAUUUGACCACACAGAGGCUUCACAAAUGCUUGAGGUCCAGAUGCAAGUUGCACCUGAUGCAAAUGAAGGAAAGCUCUGAUGAACAGCAGAGACAGAGAGCAAACAUAUUUUUUAAACAUAUACACCUUGAAGUAAUAAUGUGAGAAGUAUCUUCUACUAAUCCAGGGAGAGAUUGUGUGUGAAUUUGCCACAGGAAAUGCAGUGAGGAGUACCCUUUCUUCCAGGUUAAUGCCAGCCUAAUGGAUGGUUGUUUGGUUUUGAUAUUUUUUCACCUGUUUAUGUACCUUGGCAUGUGCUCUGAGCCUGGAGCUGGGCUGCAUUUUCCACCUGCUAGAAGGGGUGCAUAUCCAUGUGCACAGCAAGUCAGUUCAGGGAAAUUUCAUUAAUGUUUGCUUUAGGAAACAACUUUAUUCUUCUCAGCAAUUUUUAUACAGAUCUGAGGGCCUUUUGCCAGCCCUCAUUUCCAGAUGGCUUAAAAGCCAUGUUCUGUGCUAAAUAACUGUAUUUAAUUUCUCUGUGUAAGUAUGAGACAAGAGGUCAAAGAAAGAAAUGACAUCAGUGUGAGCAACCUGCUUGGUCAGGGGGAGCUCAGAGACAUGGGCAGGGAAAGUAUCCUCUGGGAAAUGAAGAAAUGAGCAUGGGGAU
rnacentral:lncRNA from 1 species